AGAGUUUGAUCCUGGCUCAGGACGAACGCUGGCGGCGUGCUUAACACAUGCAAGUCGAACGGGAGGAAAAGAGAAGCUUGCUUCUUUUUGAAUCUAGUGGCAAACGGGUGAGUAACACGUAAACAACCUGCCUUCAGGAUGGGGACAACAGACGGAAACGACUGCUAAUACCGAAUGUGUUCCGGAGACCGCAUGAUUUCCGGAAGAAAGGAUGGCCUCUAUUUAUAAGCUAUCGCCUGAAGAGGGGUUUGCGUCUGAUUAGGCAGUUGGUGAGGUAACGGCCCACCAAACCUACGAUCAGUAGCCGGUCUGAGAGGAUGAACGGCCACACUGGAACUGAGACACGGUCCAGACUCCUACGGGAGGCAGCAGUGGGGAAUCUUCCGCAAUGGACGAAAGUCUGACGGAGCAACGCCGCGUGAGUGAUGACGGCCUUCGGGUUGUAAAGCUCUGUGAUCGGGGACGAAUGGCUGGUAUGCUAAUACCAUAUCAGAGUGACGGUACCCGAAUAGCAAGCCACGGCUAACUACGUGCCAGCAGCCGCGGUAAUACGUAGGUGGCAAGCGUUGUCCGGAAUUAUUGGGCGUAAAGCGCGCGCAGGCGGCUUCUUAAGUCCAUCUUAAAAGUGCGGGGCUUAACCCCGUGAUGGGAUGGAAACUGGGAGGCUGGAGUAUCGGAGAGGAAAGUGGAAUUCCUAGUGUAGCGGUGAAAUGCGUAGAGAUUAGGAAGAACACCGGUGGCGAAGGCGACUUUCUGGACGACAACUGACGCUGAGGCGCGAAAGCGUGGGGAGCAAACAGGAUUAGAUACCCUGGUAGUCCACGCCGUAAACG
rnacentral:rRNA from 1 species